rnacentral:rRNA from 1 species
UAGAGUUUGAUCCUGGCUCAGAAUCAACGCUGGCGGCGUGCCUAACACAUGCAAGUCCAACGAGAAAGUGUAGCAAUACAUGAGUACAGUGGCGACCGGGUGAGUAACACGUGACUAACCUACCUUCUUGUGGGGAAUAACCUUCCGAAAGGAGGGCUAAUACCGCAUAACAUCGCGAGGUGAGAUUCCUUGUGAUCAAAGGAGCAAUUCGCAGGAAGAGGGGGUCGCGGCUGAUUAGCUAGUUGGUGAGGUAACGGCUCACCAAGGCAGUGAUCAGUAUCCGGCCUGAGAGGGCGCACGGACACACUGGAACUGAAACACGGUCCAGACUCCUACGGGAGGCAGCAGUGGGGAAUUUUGCGCAAUGGGGGAAACCCUGACGCAGCAACGCCGCGUGGAGGAUGAAGCUUCUCGGAGUGUAAACCCCUUU